AUGCUGCGUCGGAACACGCGGCUCCGUCGGGAGUACCUCUACCGGAAGAGCCUCGAGGGGAAGGAGCGUCAGCACUACGAGAAGAAGCGCCGCGUCCGGGAGGCGCUCGAGGAGGGCAAGCCUAUCCCCACCGAGCUUCGCAACGAGGAGCUCGCCCUCCGCCGCGAGAUCGACCUCGACGACCAAGACCGGGCAGUGCCGAGGAGCAUCAUAGAUGACGAGUACGCCGGCGCCACGCUCCGCGAGCCCAAGAUUCUCUUGACCACAUCCCGUAACCCGAGUGCACCCCUGACUCAGUUUGUUAAGGAGCUGAAAGUUGUAUUUCCGAACUCACAGAGGAUGAACCGUGGUGGUCAGGUGAUAUCAGAAAUCGUUGAGUCCUGCCGAUCACACGAGAUCACUGAUCUUAUUUUGGUGCAUGAGCAUCGUGGUCAGCCUGAUGGUUUGAUUGUGUGUCAUCUACCAUUAGGUCCAACUGCAUACUUUGGGUUACUCAAUGUGGUAACACGGCAUGAUAUCAAAGAUAGGAAGGCCAUGGGCAAAAUGUCAGAAGCUUACCCUCAUUUGAUACUGGACAAUUUCACAACCAAGACUGGUGAAAGGACUGCCAAUAUAAUGAAGCAUCUCUUUCCUGUGCCGAAGCCGGAGUCAAAGCGUCUAAUCACUUUUGCUAAUAGAGACGACUAUAUCUCUUUCAGGCAUCAUAUCUACGAAAAACAUGGUGGCCCCAAAUCCAUUGACCUGAAGGAGGUUGGGCCCCGUUUUGAGUUGCGACUGUACCAGAUCAAACGAGGAACUAUGGACCAAAGCGAAGCACAGAACGAGUUUGUGCUGCGGCCGUACAUGAAUACUGCUAAGAAGCAGAAAUCGCUUGGGGUUUGA
rnacentral:rRNA from 1 species